rnacentral:rRNA from 1 species
CCUACGGGUGGCAGCAGUGAGGAAUAUUGGUCAAUGGGCGAGAGCCUGCACCAGCCAAGUCGCGUGAGGGAGUACUGCCCUAUGGGUUGUAAACCUCUUUUGUCGGGGAGCAAAAGCCGGACGUGUCCGGCUGUUAGAGUUCCCGAAAAAAAAGCAUCGGCUAACUCCGUGCCAGCAGCCGCGGUAAUAAGGAGGAUGCGAGCGGUAUCCGGAUUUAUUGGGUUUAAAGGGUGCGCAGGGGGAUUUUUAAGUCAACGGGCAAAUCGUGGGGCUCACCCCCAUCCAGCCGUUGAACCUGGGAAUCUAGAGUGUGCGAGAGGUAUGCGGAAUGCGUGGUGUAGCGGUGAAAUGCAUAGAUAUCACGCAGAACCCCGAUUGCGAAGGCAGCAUACCGGUGCACAACUGACGCUCAGGCACGAAAGCGUGGGUAUCGAACAGGAUUAGAUACCCCUGUAGUC